rnacentral:rRNA from 1 species
UAAGACAGAGGCCUCGAGCGUUAGGCGGAAUCACUGGGCUUAAAGCGUGUGUAGGCGGACCGUUAAGUACCUUGUGAAAUCCCACGGCUCAACCGUGGAACGGCUGGGUAUACUGGCGGUCUUGAGCAGCCUAGGGGCGAGCGGAACAAACGGUGGAGCGGUGAAAUGCGUAGAUAUCGUUUGGAACGCCAAUGGUGAAGACAGCUCGCUGGGGGCUCGCUGACGCUGAGACACGAAAGCCAGGGGAGCGAACGGGAUUAGAUACCCCGGUAGUCCUGGCCCUAAACGAUGUCCACUAGGUCGUGGCGCCUCUGACGGCGUCGCGGCCGAAGCAAAAGUGCUAAGUGGACCGCCUGGGAAGUACGGUCGCAAGGCUA